rnacentral:rRNA from 1 species
CAGUCGCCGCGGUAAUACGUAGGGUGCGAGCGUUAAUCGGAAUUACUGGGCGUAAAGCGUGCGCAGGCGGUUGUGUAAGACAGGUGUGAAAUCCCCGGGCUUAACCUGGGAACUGCGCUUGUGACUGCACAGCUAGAGUAUGGCAGAGGGGGGUGGAAUUCCACGUGUAGCAGUGAAAUGCGUAGAGAUGUAGAGGAACACCGAUGGCGAAGGCAGCCCCCUGGGCCAAUACUGACGCUCAUGCACGAAAGCGUGGGGAGCAAACAGGAUUAGAUACCCGGGUAGUCCCUGUCUCUUAUAU